UACAGGGGGUGCAAACGUUGCUCGGAAUUAUUGGGCGUAAAGCGCGUGUAGGCGGCCCUGCAAGUCGGAUGUGAAAUCCCACGGCUCAACCGUGGAAGUGCAUUCGAAACUGCAGGGCUAGAGUCCUGGAGAGGAAGGUGGAAUGCUUGGUGUAGAGGUGAAAUUCGUAGAUAUCAAGCGGAACACCGGUGGCGAAGGCGGCCUUCUGGACAGUGACUGACGCUGAGACGCGAAAGCGUGGGGAGCA
rnacentral:rRNA from 1 species